rnacentral:rRNA from 1 species
GACGAACGCUGGCGGCGUGCUUAACACAUGCAAGUCGAACGGAAAGGCCCCUUCGGGGGUACUCGAGUGGCGAACGGGUGAGUAACACGUGAGUAACCUGCCCUUGACUUCGGGAUAACUUCAGGAAACUGGGGCUAAUACCGGAUAGGAAUCCUUGCUGCAUGGUGGGGGUUGGAAAGCUUCGGCGGUUUUGGAUGGACUCGCGGCUUAUCAGCUUGUUGGUGGGGUAGUGGCUUACCAAGGCUUUGACGGGUAGCCGGCCUGAGAGGGCGACCGGCCACAGUGGGACUGAGAUACGGCCCAGACUCCUACGGGAGGCAGCAGGGGGGAAUAUUGCACAAUGGGCGGAAGCCUGAUGCAGCAACGCCGCGUGCGGGAUGACGGCCUUCGGGUUGUAAACCGCUUUCAGCAGGGGCGAAGCUUGUGGUGACGGUACCUGCAGAAGAAGCACCGGAUAACUACGUG